ensembl:lncRNA
AAAGAAAGGAAAACAGAGAAUUAAAUGUAAGUUAAUUUAGAUCAGUAUCAUUUUUUCAGUCAAUGGUAAUGACACCAUUACAGAUAGAAUUCAAACAUUCCAAGUUUUGUGUCACUUGAGUUAGAUAUUUUAGUUGCUCCUAAAACAUUGACUGUUUUUCACCUUUGCCUUUCAGGCAUAUCUGCACUUAGGAGAGGAACUGUCUUGUCCAAUAAAUUUUCAGUCAUUCUUCUACAGCUGUGUGGAUAUAUAAGAUGUCCCAGGAGUUCAGUCUUCCUGCGUAUAGAUGUGCACAGAUAUGAUGGACAUCUUUCACACACAGUCAAAUACAACCAAGAGGAGAAUUACGAGGCAGAUAAUGAUUUUGUGUUCUUUUGUGGAGGGAUGCUUCAACUGAAAGGUAAACAAUUUAGAAAAUAAAAUAAAUAAUAUGUGUUAUGGUUUAUGAAGUAUUAGAAAAACAUAUAAUGAGAUUAUCUCUUAAGAAUUGUGUAGCUUGUUGCUGACAUACAGGUGGGCUGAAAGUUAAAAGCAUCUAAGAGAAACUGGUCAUGUAUGAGAGGAAUUUUCAGCCUCCUAGUCAAUUAAGAAUUCAGAAAGUAUGUAAUUACUGAAUCUGAUUGCAGUGAUCAUAGGCCAAUAUGAAGAUGUAAAUGUAAAGGAUAACUAACACAAGUUGUACUCAAUGAUGUGUUAUCUUUUAUUUCCAAAGGUAGUUAUACUGUUUUCCUAGACUGACACAAAAACCUCUUGUAAAUUCUAUAUUAUGAAUAAAUAGCAUUUACUUAAUAUCUAUAUCUACA